rnacentral:lncRNA from 1 species
AGCUGCACGCAGGGAAACAGUUCUCAUUUUGUGUGCUCGGCUGACUGCACGUCCAGCCUCGGGCCAGCUCGAGACGGCCACAUUGUGAGUCUGUGGGAGGGGUUCUACCGAGACGAAUGGACUUUUCUGAGGCAGGGCCCAGGAGCUGUAAUUCGAGGGGCCUCAGAUCUCCCUGCCACCCACCUGCCAGGGCAAGUGAAAUUCCACUGAGAAAAAAUCAGGCUCAUGCAUUGCUUAAGAUCAGAGAAAUGUGUCACUGGGCGAUCAUGAGUUUGUGUGAACAUCAUAGUGUGUACUUACACAGACUCAGAUGGUGUAGCCUUCUACACACCUUGGAUAUAUGGUAUAGCCUAUUCCUGCUAGGCUACAAACUCGUGCAGCAUGUUAUGGUACUGAAUACUGCAGGCAAUUGUAGCACACUGGCCUGGUUGAAGAUGGCUGAGCGUAAAACAGAAUGCAAGUCAGCUGGAGCACGUACUACUGGAGGCAGAGCCCCAUGAGAAGGGGCCAAGAACCCGCACCCAUCAAAAUCAAGAAGAAAGGCUGAACCCGGAGAGAAAAGGGAGCAACUGAUGUUGCCAUGCAGAUCCCUUGGUUGCUAUGAGAUGGUAACAUCACUCUGCCCCACCAUUGGCCAGUGCCUCCUCAGCUGCGGUGCCUCCCAGGCUGUGUGGUUCUCACGCGGGCCACUGACACAGAGCUGUUACUAUGGUGAACUUUACAAUUUCCUUUGAUUGGUGGAUUUCAGAAAUAGGCCAUCAGCGGAAUUCAUUAUAUUCAGCUAAGUAAAAAUGAAAAAUAAAUACUAUAACUUUCCCCUCAUCACUAACAUGAAGGAAACGUGACCCUUCAUGACAUAAUAAAUCGCUGUUCGGUAACUUAGGAUCCUUCAGGGGACUGAAGCGGGAUGAUCCUCCUAUGCCAAAUUUGGGUGGGAAAGAUAUUCCCUGUAGCUUUGAGUCGACUCUUCAGAGUUAAGGGCAGUGGGCCAACCAGAGUUGGAACUUCAGAGUUGGGAGGAGGUGUGGGAUGGGGCAUGCAUUGAAAUGUAAACUCUAUUGUCUCUGAAGUGAUGGGUGAUGCUGGGGGCCUGAGUGUGGAGGGCAGUUUUACAUCUCAGGACAAUGUUUUCUCAGAUGCUCUUCCAGAAAGAAAAGCCAGGAGUACUCCUGGCUGGAGGCGGCAUGCCUGAGGUCAGAGUCAAAGUAGGGUUUGUGCUGUCUGAAUCCUUUCUCCCACUCUCCCCAGCCUGGCUCAGCUUCUCAGCUUCUCAGGUGGAUUGGUGAGUCCUGGCCAAUUACGCUUCAGCUCAUCUCUACUCUCAGCAAAUAGGAAAAGGGAGUGAAGGACUGAGUUUUAACUCUUCUAAUUUCGUAACCUGACUCUCUAUAAGAAAAAGUAGGAGAAAGACUGAAGAACCCGAGAGAACAGGCCUCUGAGCCCAAGCCAAGCCAUCGCAUCCCCUGUGACUUGCCCGUAUAUAUGCCCAGAUGGCCUGAAGUAACUGAAGAAUCACAAAAGAAGUGAAUAUGCCUUGCCCCA